AUAUCAAUAAGCGGAGGAAAAGAAACCAACAGGGAUUGCCUCAGUAACGGCGAGUGAAGCGGCAACAGCUCAAAUUUGAAAUCUGGCUCCUUUGGGGUCCGAGUUGUAAUUUGUAGAGGAUGCUUCGGCUUACGCUCCGGUCUAAGUUCCUUGGAACAGGACGUCAUAGAGGGUGAGAAUCCCGUAUGCGACCGGCGCCUCCGCCAUGUGAAGCUCCUUCGACGAGUCGAGUUGUUUGGGAAUGCAGCUCUAAAUGGGAGGUAAAUUUCUUCUAAAGCUAAAUACCGGCCAGAGACCGAUAGCGCACAAGUAGAGUGAUCGAAAGAUGAAAAGCACUUUGGAAAGAGAGUUAAAAAGUACGUGAAAUUGUUGAAAGGGAAGCGCUUGCAACCAGACUUGCCCGCGGAUGCUCAACCGUCCUUUUGGCCGGUGCACUCUUCCGCGGUCAGGCCAGCAUCGGUUUGAGCGGCUGGAUAAAGGUUGCGGGAAUGUAGCUCCUCUCGGGGAGUGUUAUAGCCCGCUUCGUCAUGCAGCCCGCUUGGACCGAGGCCCGCGCAUUGCUAGGAUGCUGGCGUAAUGGUUGUAAGCGG
rnacentral:rRNA from 1 species